UCGCGAAAACUUUGCAAUAAGCGAAAGCUUGACAGGGCUAUCCCGAGUGCCAUCCGCUGAGGAAGGCUUUUACUCAGUUUAGAACGCUGGGGGAAUAAGGAGAGGGCAAGUCUGGUGUCAGCCGCCGCGGUAAUACCAGCUCUCCGAGUGGUGUGGAUGUUUAUUGGGCCUAAAGCAUCCGUAGCUGGCUGAGUUAGUCCUCUGUUAAAUCCACCGAAUUAAUCGUUGGAUUGCGGGGGAUACUGCUCGGCUAGGGGACGAGAGAGGCAGACGGUAUUUCCGGGGUAGGGGUGAAAUCCUAUAAUCCCGGGAAGACCACCAGUGGCGAAGGCUGUCUGCUAGAACGCGCCCGACGGUGAGGGAUGAAAGCUGGGGGAGCGAACCGGAUUAGAUACCCGGGUAGUCCCAGCUGUAAACGAUGCAGGCUAGGUGUUUGGGCGGCCACGUGCCGCUCUAGUGCCGCAGGGAAGCUGUUAAGCCUGCCGCCUGGGGAGUACGGUCGCAAGGCUGAAACUUAAAGGAAUUGGC
rnacentral:rRNA from 1 species